ACAGCGGAGGAUCAUUACUGAGUUUACGCUCUACAACCCUUUGUGAACAUACCUAUAACUGUUGCUUCGGCGGGUAGGGUCUCCGUGACCCUCCCGGCCUCCCGCCCCCGGGCGGGUCGGCGCCCGCCGGAGGAUAACCAAACUCUGAUUUAACGACGUUUCUUCUGAGUGGUACAAGCAAAUAAUCAAAACUUUUAACAACGGAUCUCUUGGUUCUGGCAUCGAUGAAGAACGCAGCGAAAUGCGAUAAGUAAUGUGAAUUGCAGAAUUCAGUGAAUCAUCGAAUCUUUGAACGCACAUUGCGCCCGCCAGCAUUCUGGCGGGCAUGCCUGUUCGAGCGUCAUUUCAACCCUCAAGCUCUGCUUGGUGUUGGGGCCCUACAGCUGAUGUAGGCCCUCAAAGGUAGUGGCGGACCCUCCCGGAGCCUCCUUUGCGUAGUAACUUUACGUCUCGCACUGGGAUCCGGAGGGACUCUUGCCGUAAAACCCCCAAUUUUCCAAAGGUUGACCUCGGAUCAGGUAGGAAUACCCGCUGAACUUAAGCAUAUCAAUAAGCGGAGGAAAAGAAACCAACAGGGAUUGCCUCAGUAACGGCGAGUGAAGCGGCAACAGCUCAAAUUUGAAAUCUGGCCCUAGGCCCGAGUUGUAAUUUGCAGAGGAUGCUUUUGGUGCGGUGCCUUCCAAGUUCCCUAGAACGGGACGCCAGAGAGGGUGAGAGCCCCGUACAGUUGGACACCAAGCCUUUGUAAAGCUCCUUCGACGAGUCGAGUAGUUUGGGAAUGCUGCUCAAAAUGGGAGGUAUAUUUCUUCUAAAGCUAAAUACCGGCCAGAGACCGAUAGCGCACAAGUAGAGUGAUCGAAAGAUGAAAAGCACUUUGAAAAGAGGGUUAAACAGCACGUGAAAUUGUUAAAAGGGAAGCGCUUGUGACCAGACUUGCGUCCGGUGAAUCACCCAGCUCUCGCGGCUGGGGCACUUCGCCGGCUCAGGCCAGCAUCAGCUCGCUGUCGGGGACAAAAGCUUCAGGAACGUAGCUCUCUUCGGGGAGUGUUAUAGCCUGUUGCAUAAUACCCUUCGGCGGGCUGAGGUACGC
rnacentral:misc_RNA from 1 species